rnacentral:lncRNA from 1 species
AAAAAAAAAAAAAAAAAAAAAAAAAAACAAAUAAUUAGAGACUUGCAGCCCACAGGGGAAGAUAAACGAUCAAAGAGCCUGAUUCAGUUUAGUGGCAUAAGACUUCUGUGAGUGCAGAUGGAAAGUGCAUUGUGAAAUCCAGGGCUUCAGAUUAAGGACUGCAUUCUGGACGGUAACACCUCCAGUCUCCUACUCCUGUGAUUUUCAGAACUCGGGGAGCCAAACAUUUACCUGCUUAGCAGGAUACAAGGGAAUCCUCUGAGGAGAUGGACUUGCUUAAAAUAAAAUACAUACUGAUAAUGACAUUUGUGGAACAGGUAAAUUUAGUUCUAUGACCCAGGCAUGGAAGAAUAAGAAAGGUGGUAAGAGAAAGAAUUGAAGCUUGAAAAGGAAAGAGCCACAACAUAAAAAUUAAAGAUAAUUUAGAAGAUUAAAUGUAAGUGAAAAAAAUUAGAAGAUUAAAUGUAAGUGAAAAAAAUUUGUAAGAACCUCCAAAUGUCUUUUAAAUUAAAAUACAUCAGUGUUCAUUUAUUACCGAUAUGGUCAGUCUUCAUAAUCUUUAGAAUGAGAUUCUGUUAAAUCAAAAUCGACAAAGUAAAAGAAAUCCUAAAUUUUGUAUUUUAUUUGUUUUCUCAUUAUUACUUUGUAAAUUUAGGAAAAUAUAUAUUAAUAUACAUUAGCUAUAAUAUGACAAAUGCCUAUGCCUAAGCCAGAAUUAAAGGAUUUGCAAUUAUAUCUAAAAAUCGGAAACCACUGUCAAGCUAUUUCUUUUCAUGCACCUUGGGGCAAGGAAAAAAGAAGGGAUCAAUGGACAAAAUUACCUAUUGAUUUCUCAACGAUGUGCAUCCUUUUUUAUUAUAAUAAGUUUUAUUUUUCCCUUCUAGGUGUUAGUGCAUUGGAAAAUCAUUUAAAGAAUGUAUCAGCUAAUUGAAGGCUUAUGUGUGAGUUUGACUUUUUAUGAUUAUAUAGAAAUAUAUUUCCAAGUGUCUUUCCUUAAAAAGUUAGAUACUAUUUUAAUUUGCAUAGUAUAAGUAAGACUUUUAUCAUUAUUUACUUACAUUGGAUCUGCAAGGGAAGCCCUGCAGUCAAGUUUUAUACCCACUUGAUGCCAAGAUUGGCUGUUUGGCUCAUUAGAUGUUAUUGCUGAUUUUCUGCUCUUGCCUAGAGUCUCUAUAUAUUCCGUCAUGGGUCAAUACAGGGUUUCUUACUUGCAUGUCCAGUUCGCUGUGCUGGAGUCAGUUCCUUUCAAUAGAACCAGAGCAAAAACCAGAGACUUGGGGUAAUGUAAUCGUGUGUGUGUGUGUGUGUGUGUGUGUGUAUAGGUUGAAAGAAUGUCAGAUAAGGAUCAAUUUUGCAUAGCAUAAUGUGAGGAGAAUAAUCGUCUGGAAGUUAAAAUUAUAGAGUGUUCAGAUGGUAAACUGCAGAAACUUAUGAUACAUAAAAGGAAGGCCCUAAAAAAUAAGAGGAUGUAGUGCUCAUGAAAUAAAAACUGAGUAGUCAAACCAAACAUCAAGUUCUCCCAGAAAGUGAGUUAAUUAAAUGAAAAGAAAUAUUAAUGGUUGAGUUUUAACAUACAGUGGUCUUAGUUCUUCUCUCCUCUCCUCUAAACCUUGGACUUUCAUUCACAGAGUAAGUGGAAUAUGAUAUAACUUCUAGUCUUACAGGAUUUGAAUAUUGUAGAUAAUUUACAAAUGAUUCAGGCCAUUUAGAAAACUAUUGUUUUGCUCUCCUGAUUCUUUGACUCUGGCAUUCUUCUCCUUGAGAUCAUGUAUUAGCUAAACUGAUUCUUAUUGAAAAGACAGGUGCUGAGGGUAACUCAAAUCAUGUAUAUAACUGAUGGACUAUGUGAAUUUUUCUGUAUCCUCCACCUAUGUCUGUUGGCAGAUGUCACUUAUACCAUCUGCUUUUAUCUUUAGGUAAACAAGAUUCCUGCCAGGCUUUGACUACUACCCUUGGCCUUCCUAUACAGGGUUGUAAAGAAUCAUCAUGAUGUAUGUUUGAAAUUAUGUUUAACAGUAUUACAGUCAAUAUAGACUAAAUUUUGAUGCAGUAACAACCUCAGAACUUUUACAAUCAUUGCUGGACUGAGAGAGAAAGAGAGAGUGAACAGGGAAUGUCACAUGAGCAGAGAAUGUCACUAUCUCAACUGUAAAAAACAAACAUUACUUCUACUCACAUUUCAUUGCCCAGAACUAGUCCUAUACCUGUGCCUAACUGGAAAUGAGCACAAACUAUCGUGUCUGUCAUGCUCAAGGAGAGGAAAUUGGUUAUUGGUCAGUGUCAAUAUUGUCCACAAAUGUGAAUUACAUUUUAUAAGGUGUUGACUCUGCCUGUCACCCACAAAAGAGCUUUGAGUACAAUUGGCAAACCGUAUAUGCUAUAUUUUUAAAACAAUAUUUCUCUUCCAUGUGUUAAAUGUAAUAAUUGUUUUAGAUUAUUUAACUUGAUAUAUUACUAAGCUUUUUUUCCCUACUCAAACAAAAAGUACUCUUACAAUCAAAGAAACAUGUUUAUUGUUGUUGUUGAUUUAAUUUUCAAACACAUUUGAAGGACUCAAAACACAACCACUCUUUCAAACCUCAAAUAUCAACUAAGUUAUAAUCAGUAUCUUUUGUAUGGUAAGGCACUAGACCCAGAAUAACAGAAGAAAAACAAUGGAAGAUAAAUUUAAAAGUUAAUGGAAGAAAACAUAAUUAUGGAGAGUUACAACUAUUACAUGUUUACUUUUAAACUGGUAAUUGAUAUCUAAAAUAAGUAAGGGUUUGAUAUGGGAAGAAUAGUAAACGGGAGAUAGGAGCACUAAUUUUAAGACACUUUUUUGACAUCAGUUAGUAAAACAAUUUUGGAAAAAAACAAUGAUCUAUGUUUCUUAAAUCUAAUUAAUUUAUAUUAUUUCAUAUAUAUUUUUUAAAAUGAGCUAUCCUUCAAAAUGCAACCGAUUAGAAUAUUUUACUAUCUUUUCUAUGAAGUUUAAGGUUUAAUAAGCUUUCACUUUAACUUUCUAAUACAAUGGAAUAAUUUCUAUUGUCAUUUUAUUGUGUAAUACUAUUGUAAAGCUUUAAAACAUAAAAAAAUACAAAAACAUAAAAUUUACAUUUUAUAUAAAGAUACAAUUUGUAAAACAAUUUAGAACAUAUUAUUCUAUUACAAUAAAUUAUCCUGCAAACUUUUAGGGUUGUUCUUUGCUUCUAAUAUCCCAUAUGAGAAUUUACUAAUCUUAAGCUGUCAGAUCUUACUUUUCUCACUUCCUUAACCAUAUUUUCUGCCUUCAUCUCACCCUUGCAUUCUCAAGCUUUCUUGACCUAUGGCAAAAUAAAUAUUAAUAUGAAUUCAUAGACAGAUGUAUAUUUAUAGAUCUGUGGAAGAUUAAUAUCUCAUAUCCAUUUUUUGUUGUAUUUAUUUAUGAAUUUAUUUAUUCAUGUGGCCCAGUUUGGCUUUUUGAAAUGAUAGCCUCAUGAAAUGUUUCAUAAUGAUAUCUUUAUUCUGUGACUGGAUUAAAAUUUAUGUUAUUUCUGUAAACUCAGUUUGAAUUACUCCAUCUUUGAUGUCUAUAGUAUGGAAUUAACACAGUGGAGUUUAUGUGCUUCAUGGGACCCUUAAGUGCAAACUUGUAAAAUCUUUCAUUAUUUCAAUAAUUACACAUGAUAAUAAUUUAGAGACAUGAGUGACAUCUAAACUUUGAAAACGGCAUUGUGCUCUUUCUAAAUGUAUUAUGGAGGAUUUCUCUCAUUUUUCUUGUCUUAAUUGUUUAAAUGCAUUUGAGCAAAGUUUCCAUUUACCUUGCUAGUUGUUUUAGAUGGCUGCCGGAUCGCUAUUCAUGAAGGAAGGACUAACAGAUGGAGACCCGCUACUGACUUCAGUAAACCUAAAUUAUCUGAAAGUGGUAGAAUAAGAGAAAGGUUAUGAAUGGUGAUGACAUUGAGCCCAGGUUAAAUCCAGGAAGCCAACACCCAGUUUUAUGUAUAAAGUUUGAAAGAUGUAAGAUGAGAGAAAGGCAUAUUGUCAGUAAUGAAUCAGUGUAAAUCAGAACUUGGGAACUGAUACUGUUAAUUGUCUUCUGGAGGCCCACUUAAUUGUGGUUUUUGAAAAUUAUGCCACGAGGAGGAGAUAUUUGUGUUCUCUCAUGAGCGUGAAAACAGCGUUUGGUGUUGCGUUAUUCCAACUGCCAUUUGCUAUUGGUGAUCGUUCUUCUCUAGAGAAUGCGCAACCUACUCAUCUGACAAAGGGC